UAGAGGAAGUAAAAGUCGUAACAAGGUCUCCGUUGGUGAACCAGCGGAGGGAUCAUUACUGAGUUUACACUCUACAACCCUUUGUGAACAUACCUAUAACUGUUGCUUCGGCGGGUAGGGUCUCCGUGACCCUCCCGGCCUCCCGCCCCCGGGCGGGUCGGCGCCCGCCGGAGGAUAACCAAACUCUGAUUUAACGACGUUUCUUCUGAGUGGCACAAGCAAAUAAUCAAAACUUUUAACAACGGAUCUCUUGGUUCUGGCAUCGAUGAAGAACGCAGCGAAAUGCGAUAAGUAAUGUGAAUUGCAGAAUUCAGUGAAUCAUCGAAUCUUUGAACGCACAUUGCGCCCGCCAGCAUUCUGGCGGGCAUGCCUGUUCGAGCGUCAUUUCAACCCUCAAGCUCUGCUUGGCGUUGGGGCCCUACAGCUGAUGUAGACCCUCAAAGGUAGUGGCUGACCCUCCCGGAGCCUCCUUUGCGUAGUAACUUUACGUCUCGCACUGGGAUCCGGAGGGACUCUUGCCGUAAAACCCUCAAUUUUCCAAAGGUUGACCUCGGAUCAGGUAGGAAUACCCGCUGAACUUAAGCAUAUCAAUA
rnacentral:rRNA from 1 species